rnacentral:lncRNA from 1 species
AUCACUGCAUCCCAUUUCUAUCUUUUUAAAUUUUAAAUAUUUAAAUUUUAAAUUAAUUUAAUAAUAUUAUUUAAAUUAAUAUUAUUCUGAAGAGGUAGAAUAACUCUGAGAAGCUCUCCGACAAGAGUAGCCUUACUGCCUUCGACGAUAGGAGUUUGAGAUCGGACUACCGUUGAACUGGCUCUGGCCCACUCAUCUACUCUGGUGGCGAUCAGAGUAGCUCGACUAUUGGAUUCUAGGCCCUA